rnacentral:rRNA from 1 species
GACGAACGCUGGCGGCGUGCUUAACACAUGCAAGUCGAACGGAAAGGCCCUGCUUUUGUGGGGUGCUCGAGUGGCGAACGGGUGAGUAACACGUGAGUAACCUGCCCUUGACUUUGGGAUAACUUCAGGAAACUGGGGCUAAUACCGGAUAGGAGCUCCUGCUGCAUGGUGGGGGUUGGAAAGUUUCGGCGGUUGGGGAUGGACUCGCGGCUUAUCAGCUUGUUGGUGGGGUAGUGGCUUACCAAGGCUUUGACGGGUAGCCGGCCUGAGAGGGUGACCGGCCACAUUGGGACUGAGAUACGGCCCAGACUCCUACGGGAGGCAGCAGUGGGGAGUAUUGCACAAUGGGCGGAAGUCUGAUGCAGCAACGUCGCGUGCGGGAUGACGGCCUUCGGGUUGUAAACCGCUUUCGCCUGUGACGAAGCGUUAGUGACGGUAAUGGGUAAAGAAGCACCGGCUAACUACGUG